rnacentral:lncRNA from 1 species
AAAACCCUCGCCACUCAUGAAGAACUGAGGCAAAAGGAUCACAGAUGCUGCUCGGGGCCAGCCCUAUACUCCCUCCAGUGCCUGGUCUCCGGUGGACCCGCGGGGCUCUGCAGUUCUCUGGCGGCCGCGCCUUGUAAGCGCUAAGCCGGGAGGAGGGCGCAGGCAGGGCGCACAGCUCUGAGCGCGACCCUACCCGGCUCGGGCCCGCAGCAACCCCGACUGUCCGAGAGCCUCUCCCCAAGCAAGGCUCUGCGCCGCCCUCUGAGCCCACCUCCUGGCCACAACGCUGCCUGCGCUUCUCCAGCCCAGGCCGGAAGCCCUAUGCUGCCUCCCGAAGCCGUUGGAACUCAAGGUCCCCUUUCACUCCCUUCUUGAGUACCCCUAGCACUUGCUGGGUUGGUGGAGCAGGGAACUCUCGGUUCUCCACUCAGGACUUUCUGGAAGCCCAUCUUCGUAUGCUCACCAGCCCACCCUCCUACGCUGGUCAGAGUGAGAUUGCUAACCUCAAGACCCCAUUCAAUGCCAGCUUUCAACUACUGCUGAAGACCAAUGUAGGUCCUGGAAUAGAAGAACUGCAGAGUAUGCAGACAAAAGCUACCAUGUCCGCUUGGAGUGACGCCCAGACACGCACAGAGAUGUACAGGAAGCCAAGGAGAGUGGGAUCCACCAGAGUACAGUACAAGUACAGAGUACAGUGCAAGAUGCCCAGUGGCCCUGGAGAAAAACCUUCGUUGACUCUUCUGUAUGGAAAGUUUCUGAAGAAAGGGCCAAGGAAUGAUCUGCCCCAGAGGCUGCCUUUAGGCUCCCAUACCUGCUCUGUUUGGAGACACCCAGAAGAGGCCAGUACAGCAAAGACUCUUUUUGGUUUGGUUAUUUCUGUUGCUUGUUGUCUUUUUUUCAUCCUUUGCCUGGGAAAUUGUGCUCUGGAAUAGGGCUUGAGUAGACAGCACAGGCCUCCAGUAGAUAACAAGAGAUUCUCAAUCUCCAAUGAGGACAUUCCGUUCUAAGGAAGCUUCCAGAUAGGGGAAAGCCCUGUUUUGUCCCCCUUUUCUCCUCUGAGAUCUGAAAAAAUAGAAAGAAAAAAAAAGAAAAACAAAACAAAUAUAAAAACUAUAGCCCAAUCCCAUGUACAUCAAAUAAAUCCACAAGGAAUAUGCUAGAUCAAGCUAAAUUAUGUAUUUAACUCAUUUUCUUUUGUGAGAUACUGAGAAGUCUUCAACUUCCUCUAUUCCAGGCAGGGAUCGAGGACCUGGCCUGGCAGAGGUUCCACCACCAGGGUUUCCCACAGUGGUUCUGGGACUAGGCGUAAGGUGUCCUGACUUGUUUUCUCUGUCACCUCUUCUGGGGAACUGGGGAACUGUCCCAGACAAUGGCUGCCCCAGUUCCCUCUAGAAGAGACAGCCCCCACCCCCAGAACCCGUUGCCCUCCAACCUCACCUCAUUUUCUCUUGAGCUCAUUCUCCGAGCUCUUAAAGUAGUAGGUGUGAGUCUUGGACCAUUUCUUUAAAAGAAACAACUAAGGAAAGGGAGGGAGGGGAGGAGGGAGGAGGGGAGCGGGAAGGAGAGCUACCUCCUAGACUAACGCGUCCAGGAACCACUCUCUAAGGAGCAAAAGAGAGCCUGUGUUGUAAAGUAGAAGUGAUCCCCCGACAUUGCUGCAGGGCGCCUUGCAACAGAUGUAACUGUCCACUGAAGAGACAGAGGGUGGGCAUGGGGAAGAUUUUUUUUCCUCCCUUUUGUGAACAGCUCUUACACUUUUCCAAGACACAUUGAGUUCCUGGACAUUUUUGUGAAUUUGUUCUUGAUUGUGUUUUGAACAAUAAACUGUGAAAAUCAACUUCAAGCCCACACAAUCAGAAUCUUUCUUGGGAGGGCAGGUUCUUUCAGCGCUGUUUUUCUCCAGGUCGCUUUUAUCUUACCCCCAAUGGGAGUCACCUGCUGAUGCUCCUCGGGAGGAGACUGUAACUGAAAGACGGAAGUGAAUGCAGACACAGCAUCCUCUGAGCCAAACCGUUGCUUUGGUUCCUUCUAGCUUAGGAUGCCGAACACUGGCUGGCUUUGAACACCCUCUACUUCGCUAAGAAGUUUAGAGCCUUUCUCACAACAAACCACAGCGUUUUAGAACUGGAAAUGUUUCUUCUGAUUUUCCAGUCUUAGGACAAUUUUCGAACUCUAACUUAAAAAAAAAUUUGUUUAUGGGGGUUUAGCUAGAACACUUGUAGCAUUCGCUUCUCAAGGAAAGAUCAACUGUUUUCUCAUAACCCCAACUGCUCCACACACUUCAUAGGAUAUAAUGUAUUUUCUUUACUUAUCCUUGUGCCUUCUGCCCAGGACAUAGAACUAGGGGCAAAACUUUGGAGGUCUAUGACCUCUUGAUAGCACCUGUAAUUGUUAGGCUUUUGUUCUUGUGCCUUGUAAAUCUCUCAUGUACGUCUAUGAAAAUAUGCAUUGCAUGGGUGUGAUCCUAUCAAGUUGUCCACACUUUCUCAACAACCACUGAUGAGUGAAACCAUUUCUAUUGCCCAGGGCAAAGGGCUAAUCGCCUUGUGGGUCUAGAGUUGUCAUAGGAUAAUAUCCGGUGUGUGUGUGAUAUGACAGUUAUUACUUUCAAGAAUAAAUUAAAAUAACCAGAUACCCCUUUAAUACUUUCCUCAACAGCGUCAAUGCUCUAGAGAUGGGACCUCGCCUUCCAAGGUGUCUUCACUAUCACAGGGCCCGGGCUCUCUGCCUCAGCCCAACCCUGGGCUUGCGCUCAGAGAGGAGGUAUUCCGACGGAAAAAAAUCCCAUACAUUUUUAACUACAGUGAUUACUAAAUUAAUAGCAGGCACCAAGACAGAUGUCAAAACGUCUUGAAAAUGUUUAUCUGUGAAUAAUUGAGAAGGUAGUGGGACGCAUUAUCUGAUUGUGUAAUGAAAUAUGUAUGAGGAACAGCUGUUUGCAGCAGCCCCUUCCCCUUGCCGCCUUAGCCAGGGCCCUUCUCUCGCAAGCUUUCUUCUACUUUCUUCCACCUUUUUCUUCCUUCUACUUUCUAGUUCGCUCUCUUCUUCCUUAACUGCUCGCACGGCUUUGGCUGCAGUGAACCCAGAGUCGCCUGGUUCUCUGAUGAAGGUUAGCCACAAGGUUUCCUCUAAGCCUUGCUGGAUUGGCGUUCCGUAGUGGGAUGAGGCUUCGUUGUCUGCUGUUCUGGCCAUCGCGCCUUCCGGCCAGGCUGCCCGCUGGGUCUCCAUGGAGUCUGCGGG